rnacentral:rRNA from 1 species
CGUAGUCGAUGGACAUCCGGUUGAUAUUCCGGAACCGGCGAAGAACCGCCCAUGACGAACCUUUUGAUGCUAAGCGCCUGAAGCUGAUCGUGAAGUCUUCGGAUGAAUCUUUCAGUGGAGCGCGCGACCCUAUUGAGUAGUAGUCAAGCAAUGGAGAGACGCAGGAAGGUAGCCUCCGCGUGGCGAUGGUAGUCCACGUCCAAGGGUGUAGGGAGUGAGAUAGGCAAAUCCGUCUCACACAUAUCCUGAGACCUGAUAGUGACCGCGAAUGCGGGAAGCAGGGUGAUCCUAUGCUGCCAAGAAAAUCUUCUAGCGAGGUUCGAGCCGCCCGUACCCCAAACCGACUCAGGUGGUUAGGUAGAGAAUACCAAGGCGAUCGAGUGAAUCGUGGUUAAGGAAUUCGGCAAAAUACCCCCGUAACUUCGGGAGAAGGGGGGCCCUGAUCGUGACGGCACUUGCUGCCCGAGCGUGAUCGGCCGCAGAGACCAGGGAGAAGCGACUGUUUACUAAAAACACAGGUCCGUGCGAAGUCGCAAGACGAUGUAUACGGACUGACGCCUGCCCGGUGCUGGAACGUUAAGGGGACCGGUUAGCCUCACGGCGAAGCUGAGAACUUAAGCGCCAGUAAACGGCGGUGGUAACUAUAACCAUCCUAAGGUAGCGAAAUUCCUUGUCGGGUAAGUUCCGACCUGCACGAAUGGCGUAACGAUUUCUCCACUGUCUCAACCACGAACUCGGCGAAAUUGCACUACGAGUAAAGAUGCUCGUUACGCGCAGAAGGACGGAAAGACCCCGGGACCUUUACUACAGCUUGGUAUUGGUGUUCGGUACGGCUUGUGUAGGAUAGGUGGGAGACUGUGAAGCUGACACGCCAGUGUCGGUGGAGUCAACGUUGAAAUACCACUCUGGUCGUUCUGGAUAUCUAACCUCGGUCCGUGAUCCGGAUCAGGGACAGUGCCUGGUGGGUAGUUUAACUGGGGCGGUUGCCUCCUAAAAGGUAACGGAGGCGCUCAAAGGUUCCCUCAGCCUGGUUGGCAAUCAGGUGUCGAGUGUAAGUGCACAAGGGAGCUUGACUGUGAGACAGACAUGUCGAGCAGGGACGAAAGUCGGAACUAGUGAUCCGGCGGUGGCUUGUGGAAGCGCCGUCGCUCAACGGAUAAAAGGUACCCCGGGGAUAACAGGCUGAUCUU